AUCUUUUCUUUUCCGCCGUUGUGGAGUGCAGUCACGUUUUUCUCGAGGAGGAAAAGAAUUUUUUCUACUUGCUAUUUUGGCUAAGUAUUGCAUGAUGAUACCGGAUGUUGGUUUCUGAGCAUGUCAGAGGUGGCGGGUCACAAAGGGUGCUUUUUUAUUACAUGGUUUUU